rnacentral:rRNA from 1 species
AGCGAACGCUGGCGGCAGGCUUAACACAUGCAAGUCGAACGCCCCGCAAGGGGAGUGGCAGACGGGUGAGUAACACGUGGGAACGUACCCUUUGGUUCGGGAUAACUUGGGGAAACUCAAGCUAAUACCGGAUAAGCCCGUAUGGGGAAAGGUUUACUGCCGAAGGAUCGGCCCGCGUCUGAUUAGCUAGUUGGUGAGGUAAUGGAUCACCAAGGCGACGAUCAGUAGCUGGUCUGAGAGGAUGAUCAGCCACACUGGGACUGAGACACGGCCCAGACUCCUACGGGAGGCAGCAGUGGGGAAUAUUGGACAAUGGGGGCAACCCUGAUCCAGCCAUGCCGCGUGAGUGAUGAAGGCCUUAGGGUUGUAAAGCUCUUUUACCCGGGACGAUAAUGACUGUACCGGGAGAAUAAGCCCCGGCUAACUUCGUGCCAGCCGCCGCGGUAA